rnacentral:rRNA from 1 species
UACAGAGGGUGCAAACGUUGCUCGGAAUCAUUGGGCGUAAAGCGCACGUAGGCGGCCUAGCAAGUGGGGAGUGAAAUCCCUCGGCUUAACCGAGGAACUGCCUGUCAGACUGGGUUGCUUGAGACCGGGAGAGGCGAGUGGAAUUCCCAGUGUAGCGGUGAAAUGCGUAGAGUAUUGGGAGGAACACCAGUGGCGAAGGCGGCUCGCUGGACCGGAACUGACGCUGAGGCGCGAA